GCCUUCGAGGAUCAGUGGCGAUCGUCCCGCUUCUGUUAGGUCACACCGAGGACACAAUGCAACGGGAAGGCGGGGUUCGACUCCCCGCGAAGGCA